rnacentral:lncRNA from 15 species
AUGUUUUGGUACUGCGGCUCACCAGUAGACCCAAGAGCAGGAGUAGGGAGAGUGCAGGUGAUUAGUACAAACUGCAACAAGAUGGGAAAGUUGGAAUGUGUGUACGACCAUCAUUGUGAAGUGAAUUGGGUGUCAGGAAGGCACACCCCAACCCUCUGGUUUUAUUUAGUAAGUUUGGUUUUCUAUUUCAUAUUUUAUCCUCUAUUUUUACACCUGUUGUUCCGUUCUGGCACAUUUCUGAUGUUAUUCCCACAAUACUGUGGUCAUGAGACAAACUCCUAACUCCCCUCCACCCUUCACCAGCCCAAAUAAAGUAUACAUUUUUCAUUCAGAUGUUUCAAAUUUCUAAAAAGUCUACUUAUUUAGAUAGUUGUUUAAUACUAUUUUCUGCAAGUUUGAUUGUAUGUAGCUGUUUGUUUAAAGAAAUCCCUGUGAAAACUGGAGUUUUCUAAAAAGCUGUUUAUGAACUAACCUUAACUGUCUCAGAAUACUCUGUUUCCCCUUUUAUUAGUAUCAGAUUGUGUAGUCCUUCCAGGAAAUGUUCUAGGAAAUUAUCAGGACAUGUAAAAUAAAGCUGGGUACUGUCCUGGGGCCCAUGGAGUCCUGGAACCCCCGAUUACUGUUUGUCAACUGGUUUGUACUAGUUUAAUUGAAACAUUAGUUAAAUUGAAACAUUGCUUGGGAAUAUGUACCACUAAAGCACGAUAUGAUCCUGUUUCUAUUUCCUUUGCUAAGGUUACAUUGUUCACUGGGGUUGAUAUGCCCCAGUAUAUUAUAAUGACUUACUUGAUCUGAUCUGAUGGAUGCAGUACCAGGUAAUAAGAGAAAUUGUACACAUUGCAUUAAAAGUGAAAGGAAGUGGGAGUCAUUUGAGACCUUGUAGCUAAUUUGUGCUCUUAAUAAAUCAUACAUUUUUGUUAUUGUUGGCCUAGAGAUAGUCACAGAGUCCAAAAUAGACUGAAUGAGUCUCAAAAACAUGCACCAGGUUUUUCACUGUAGAAUGUUGCUAAAACCUCUGAAUACAGAGGACAUGUAUGAAAGCCCAAAAAAGAUUCUGUAAGUCAUUUUAAUAAGAAAUUUUCUCAAAAUAAUGACUCGGUAUCCUAAUAUUUUGACUUAGUAUCACAAAGUCAUUUUCUUGUGAUAGUUUCUCAUUAUAAUGACUUACAUAAUCUCUUUUUUCUUCACAUUUGCGGAAAUGGGCUUCCAUACCAGUGCCCUGAGUGUAACCAGCAUAAAGUCAAAGUCAUGGAAUUUUACAUCCACCCAAUGAUAGAUCAGAUUAUAUGUGCAGGCUUUUGGGAGACUGGAACGGUGACAGUUGCCGUGCCUUCCCACCGGGGUGAAGCUCAGGGCGCCCUCUUUUACAAACGCACACAGUCAGCCAGAACAGACAGAUCCAUCCAUGUAAUGCGUCCUUGUAAAAGCAGCAGCCAAGCUGUCUCACUGUCACUGACCCUGCCACACACACAUAAACACACGCCCUGGCGUUAUGGCAGGUCGUAAAAAACACAAGAGUCCAAAUGCGGAGCGAGGAUGUGGUGACUCGGCUGAUGAGCGCCUUCUCUCCUCGGUGUUUACUUCUCAUGCGGCGUAGCCCGGGGAUAACCUUGCGUUCCAUAUGCGUGCGUGCGUGUGUGCGCGCGUCCCUCCGCCUGUCUUUGCUGACCCAAGUUUGAACCCGCUGAGAGAGAUAUCAUUUUUAUAACACACACACACACACACACACACACACACACGGGGGAGAAAGCAGGUUAAAGUCUGUAGAUUAGGAAGAGGUUCAAUCUGCAAGCAGAUUGAUAGAAACUGUGAGUCAAGCAGGGGGCAGAGCUGAGGUUCCCGGCCGCAUUGUUACACUGAAACAUCGUGAAGGCAAGAAGGAAGGGGAUUGGGGCCAUAUCUGAAACAUUUAUUUAAAUUCUUUAUUCCGAUUUAAACUCAGAAGUUUGACCCUUUAAAAUUUAAAUAUGUGGCCCUAAGAGGGCAGGAUCAGGUAGACAGGUUGAAUCAUUUCAGCUCCACAUGGUGAAACCUGUAAACAGGUUCAAAUGCAUCUAAAUCAAGAGUGCGACUGGUGCAGGGACAGCCUAUAAAAUAAUAGGAAAUGAAUGAAUGAAUAAACUUUGAGUGGCAGCAGUGAGAGCCACAGGGAGAGGGAUUAAGACAUUCUUCGACCUCUUUUCCAUUUUCUGAAGCAGCUGAAAAUGUGCUGCUUAAAAGCUUUUUGCUCUUGAAUGCGGGCCGCCCUGCAGGCAUGAUUACUGAUCCUACAAGCGGGGCUUAAGCCAAGGUAAUGAGUGUGUAAACUAGCUGCCUUAUUGGCAACAAAGGCGUCUUGGGACGCACUGCCAUUGUCUCGGAGGGAACCAUCACCUUUUCUCAGUGAAAUCCGCCGCGGAUUGUCUGCGUGCAACAGGAGGUAGGGAUUAAAGAUGCGGCCCUUGGAACAAAUGGCGAAGCAAGGCAGCCAGUACAGGCCGGAGGCGGGGCCGAGCGACACCCACAAUUAAAGAUGAACUUUGAGUGAACUAAUUUAUCUGAGGGAGGAGAAGGUAACAGGCUGCCCGCGGUCUUGGCAGCCUAUAAAAGCGCAGGAUGAGCAGCCCGGAGCCUCUGUCGCUGACAGAGCUUCACCUGAGCUGCACCGCUCCUGC